GACGAACGCUGGCGGCGUGCUUAACACAUGCAAGUCGAACGGAAAGGCCCUGCUUGCAGGGUACUCGAGUGGCGAACGGGUGAGUAACACGUGGGUGAUCUGCCCUGCACUUCGGGAUAAGCCUGGGAAACUGGGUCUAAUACCGGAUAGGAGCCAUUUUUAGUGUGAUGGUUGGAAAGUUUUUUCGGUGUAGGAUGAGCUCGCGGCCUAUCAGCUUGUUGGUGGGGUAAUGGCCUACCAAGGCGGCGACGGGUAGCCGGCCUGGGAGGGUGGACGGCCACAAUGGGACUGGGAUACGGCCCAGACUCCGACGGGAGGCAGCAGGGGGGAAUAUUGCACAAUGGGCGCGAGCCUGAUGCAGCGACGCCGCGGGGGGGAGGACGGCCUUCGGGUUGGAAACGCCUUUCGCUAGGGACGAAGCUUUUUGUGACGGUACCGAGAUAAGAAGCACCGGCUAACUACGUG
rnacentral:rRNA from 1 species